UGCCCCAUGGCUGAGUUGGUUACAGCGUCCGACUGUUAUAGUCCUGCAAAGACUAAUGCGAAAUCGGAAGGUCGUGAGUUCGAGCCUCACUGGGGCAG